UACAGAGGGUGCGAGCGUUGUCCGGAAUCACUGGGCGUAAAGGGCGCGUAGGCGGUCUCUUAGGCGUGUGGUGAAAGCCCGGGGCUCAACUCCGGGUCGGCCGUGCGAACUGGGGGACUGGAGCUUGUCAGAGGCAGGCGGAAUUCCGGGUGUAGCGGUGGAAUGCGUAGAGAUCCGGAAGAACACCGGUGGCGAAGGCGGCCUGCUGGGACAGUGCUGACGCUGAGGUGCGAAAGCGUGGGGAGCAAACAGG
rnacentral:rRNA from 1 species